rnacentral:misc_RNA from 1 species
UAUUGUUUAAUGUGAUGUACAAUAUAUAUUUAAAUUAAAAGGUAGGGUUACAAGCUACAUGAGUUAUGUAUUGUAGUGCUCAAGUUAGAAUUGACUCAUUACUUGAGUUUUUUGAGUUCAAGCUCAACUUAACUACUGUUGAAUUCAAGAGGUUUGCAAGUCAAGUUCAAUUAGCCCACAAGUAGCUUAGCUCAUUUACUCACCCUAACCAUGUUGUUAAUGAAGUUCAUGAUCUAAUAGUUUUAUGGGUCACGAUAUUGCUUCUUUUCAAUUCGUGCUCUUAACAUAACUUUAAAUACCACAUUAGCAAUAAAUGAUGUGAAUGUUUUAUGCUUGCAGAAUGAUGUAGUCAUUCCA